rnacentral:rRNA from 1 species
AACAUUAUGCCUGGAAUGGUUUAUGUUCCAAAUGAUUUAUCGCCGUAGGAUGGGACUGCGUCCUAUCAGUUUGUUGGUGAGGUAAUGGCCCACCAAGACUAUUACAGGUACGGGCUCUGAGAGGAGUGGCCCGGAGAUGGGUACUGAGACACGGACCCAGGCCCUAUGGGGCGCAGCAGGCGAGAAAACUUUGCAAUGUGCGAAAGCACGACAAGGUUAAUCCGAGUGGUUUCUGCUAAAGGAACCUUUUGUCGGUCCUAGAAACACCGAUGAAUAAGGGGUGGGCAAGUUCUGGUGUCAGCCGCCGCGGUAAAACCAGCACCUCAAGUUGUCAGGAUGAUUAUUGGGCCUAAAGCAUCCGUAGCCGGCUCUGUUAGUUUUCGGUUAAAUCUAUACGCUCAACGUAUAGGCUGCCGGGAAUACUACAGAGCUAGGGAGUGGGAGAGGUAGACGGUACUCGGUAGGAAGGGGUAAAAUCCUUUGAUCUAUUGAUGACCACCUGUGGCGAAGGCGGUCUACCAGAACACGUCCGACGGUGAGGGAUGAAAGCUGGGGGAGCAAACCGGAUUAGAUACCCGGGUAGUCCCAGCUGUAAACCAUGCAAACUCAGUGAUGCAUUGGCUUGUGGCCAAUGCAGUGCUGCAGGGAAGCCGUUAAGUUUGCCGCCUGGGAAGUACGUACGCAAGUAUGAAACUUAAAGGAAUUGGCGGGGGAGCACCACAAGGGGUGAAGCCUGCGGUUCAAUUGGAGUCAACGCCAGAAAUCUUACCCGGAGAGACAGCAGAAUGAAGGUCAAGCUGAAGACUUUACCAGACAAGCUGAGAGGUGGUGCAUGGCCGUCGCCAGCUCGUGCCGUGAGAUGUCCUGUUAAGUCAGGUAACGAGCGAGAUCCCUGCCUCUAGUUGCCACCAUUACUCUCAGGAGUAGUGGGGCGAAUUAGCGGGACCGCCGCAGUUAAUGCGGAGGAAGGAAGGGGCCACGGCAGGUCAGUAUGCCCCGAAACUCUGGGGCCACACGCGGGCUGCAAUGGUAACGACAAUGGGUUUCAAAUCCGAAAGGAUGAGGUAAUCCUCAAACGUUACCACAGUUAUGACUGAGGGCUGCAACUCGCCCUCACGAAUAUGGAAUCCCUAGUAACUGCGUGUCAUUAUCGCGCGGUGAAUACGUCCCUGCUCCUU